CUCCAAAAUCUACGAGGAAGCGCACUGUCGGGUCGAACCAAACCGGAGCAAGGUUCAGGCCAUGCAGUGCUGCCUGCAUUGAAGGCAGAAGUCCCACGAGUGUUGGAUGUUCAUCGGCACACGAGAGGAGUCUUCAUUCAUGUUAGAUGUCCCUGGUCUCAAAGAUGCCUGCAGUCGAAGCAAAAGGACGAAGCCACAGAACAGUGAGAAGAGCUUCAUCAAAGUAGUUGUAACAAGACUGUGUAAAAAGCUGCAAUCGGCAGGAAGUCGGUUUACUUAUGACACAGAAGAAUGUUGACCAUGUUGAUACAUGGAGGAAAUCUGUGGUGUCCCAGGUGUUGUCAGUGGAAAUGCAAUUCGUACCAAGAUUGUUCUACAGAGGGACUUCAUCAAAAUACCAAGAUGAUCUGAAAAACUGCAUACAAUAGGACAUGAGAAGUACAUGUGUAUGUGUAAGUGGCUCGACACUUUUUUCAAAAGUACCGCAGAAAUUAUGAUCACAAGUUUCCGAAUUAUGCGAUGUUCUCAGCAUUCACUGUAACCCUAUGAGCGGUGCACGUGUGCAGCGAGCGUGGUUUAAACUGAAGUGACGUCACACUUACGAACCGGAUAUACGUGUAUACGCGCUUCACAAAGACACCGUUGGCGGCGUCAGACGCACGGCAGGCGUCUCGGCCAGUACAGUAACAAGGCCGGACACGCACUGCGUGAGCGAUAACAAACGCCAGUCAGCGGUUAUUACUAGAGGGGACAGAAACACUACUUUUCGUUCUCCCAACACCCAUUAAUAUCGUAGUCCUCAAGCAAUGGUUAUCGGGUUAUGCAAACUUGGCGGCUAAUUUGCUGUAUAACGGUUAUACAAAAAAAGUUUUUCGCUGAGCUAUCAUGGUCCGAGGGUACGUAAAGAUUAUGAUUGUCUUUAAGUCCGCCACGGAUAGGCCGGAAAUCGUCCUCCAGAAAUUACGCGAUGAAAUUGCAUUAGGCAGGAUUGCAGGUCCCUUCUCGGACCGGCCAUUUCCAAAUCUUCAGUGUUCACCUAUUGGUCUCGUGCCAAAGCACCGACAGGGCUCGUUUCGCCUUAUUCACCAUCUCUCCUAUCCACUAGGUGCAUCGCUUCCGUGCAUUGGCCCCACAGACAGAUAUAGUAAUGACGCCGGUCCCCGACCUCCUCCGGGUUUAAUAGAAGGUGAGAUACACCGGUUAUUGGUGGCUGCUUCAACGGAAAACACGCACAAAAAAUUCCAGACGGGGUGGCGUGCGUUUUGUUCAUCUAUGGGCCAAUGACUUGAUGAAACUCGACAUGCUUCCAGUAACGAUAUUAGGCAGUUUAUAGUAUGGCUUUCGCUCCAGCGUCUUGCUGCGUCAACCAUAGCUACUUCAGCAUGUAUCAGUGGGCUAUUUUCAUAAGGUUCAAGGUUGGCCGGAUCACACACGGGAUUUUCUGGUGGCGAAAUUAUUGACAGGUUGUCGCCGGGACAAACUGGGCGGCGAUGAACGGUGGCAAAUGAUCUUACCAGUACUGACCCGUAUCAUUGACGCACCCCUGCAGGUGUGUCACACUAGCUGUGAGACUGCGCUUUUUCGGGCUGAUAUUUUAUGCACAUUGUUUGAGCUUAUGCGCAUUAGCGAGUUCGCUGAAGUUGCCAAGUGUCAUAUCCAACAAUCAGUCCUCCAUGCGUCUAGUACACAUUCAGGAUGCAGACAAUGACAAAGCGUCAGUGUUUAUUUCCUUUCUGCGCACAAAAGCUAAUCAAACAGGUCCUCCUCAAGUUAUUCGCUUAGUGCACUCAGUUAAUUGAUGAAAGUGUUUGCCUGGUCUGCGCACUGACAAACUUCUCACGGAUUCGCCCCAAGUCGCCCGGCGCUUUCUUCUGCCACUAAGGGGGCGAACCACAGACAAAGUAUCAAUUCUACACUGCCUUCUAGAGUUGUGAUAACGGAAUUUCAUGAGAAACGACCGCGCAUGCGUAGACCAGAUUGCGAGCGCUAUUUUGAGCAGACAGUCGAACUUUUGAGUUCGUCCAGGUUUUGAAUUGGUGAUUAAUUACGGGAUUUACGGUCCUUUUUACCCGAGCCAGAUGGCCAAGGGUGAUGAACAUGACAAGGAACCCAGGGGUGCCGAUGGCGACCCCAAAAAGAAAGAAAAAGAGAAUAAAAACUCCAAACAAAAUGCGAGUUCACAUGGCAAGAAACACACUGGCACUAGCAUUGUUCCUGCCGCGCGGAAAGCUCGGUGCGCAUCGAAAUUCCCGCCGAAGAUAUCAAGGACUGAACAAGCAGUCGAUAAGUUGAACGAAACCUUGAGUUUCUUGACAUCGAAUGUUUUGCAGUUGACUGAUGAAGUCGGUAAACUGAAGGCUGCAGCAAAAGAACAGCGGGAGUACAGGCGAUUUUGGGAAUAUGAAGUGGACUGUUUAUGUCCUCGUGAUGUUUAUCACACCUACAGCGCCGGUUGGCACAUGGCAGAUGAAUACGAUGGUGACUGCCAUUCGGUUUCGCAAAGCAUGACCUGUGACCUCGAUGACUCACAAGGACCGCCUAUUGCCGAUGCCUACGCCGAUGCCACCAGUCUUCCACACUCUUAUCUUUUCAUCGACCUGAAACCCCACUGCCCGGAAGAACACCGCCUUCGAUCCUGCAUUUUUCCCGAGGAAACGAGCUACGCCUACGUGCCUAAAUAGACCAGUUUUACGUCAACGGCCUCACUCGUCAUCAUGACGUGACGGUUGAAGGACAACGCUUACGCGCUGCGCAUUUUGAGUGCAGCUUCGCCCAAGAAACGAAAGGACAUUUUGAAGUGUGCCGACAAGGAACUGGUCACCUGUUUGGGUGAAUGUGCGCUGAAUGUUUUAAAAGGCCGCGUUCACCUCACCCCCAGUCAGAAGAAAAAACUCUCGCGACACAAGACUCAUCUGCGAGCUUUGGCUGACAAGAAGUCCUCUCACGCCAAACGCAAACAGCUGUUGAUUCAGAAAGGAGGAUUUCUGGGAUCCCUGCUGGCUCCAAUCCUGAGUACGCUCGGAGUGAUACUGUUCUCCAAGUGAUGAAAUACGCCCGAAAAACCAUGAUUAGCGCUCCCACGGACAGCGUGACCAGAGCCAUACAGAAUGUGCUACUCUCGCGCAACCCCACGCAGAGUAAACUGCAGAGCCUGGAGCAGGACAUGAAAAACUUUUUGGCCCGAACAGACCUUCCCGACGACGCUAAACUGUCGCUGUACCAGCAAACGCUGCAACAGUAUCUUCAAUACGAUCACGCCCGCAAAUCCGCACCCAUGUCUGUCACGAUGUCUACACCGGCGGAGGGAUCCGGCAGAGGGUCGGAGGACCAAACAUUAUCGGCUGGCACGACGGACGGAGACCAUGCUACUUUGGCCGAGAGGGACCUAACACCGCAAAUUCUCGAGAGUGUGCCUAAAACCCUGCUGCGCAAAGCCAAACUGCUUAUGAACAGCCUAAA